UACGUAGGGGUGCAAGCGUUUAAUCGGAAUUACUGGGCGUAAAGCGUGCGCAGGCGGUUUUGUAAGUCUGUCGUGAAAUCCCCGGGCUCAACCUGGGAAUUGCGAUGGAGACUGCAAGGCUAGAAUCUGGCAGAGGGGGGUGAGAAUUCCACGUGUGAGCAGUGAAAUGCGUAGAGAUGUGGAGGAAUACCAGCGGCGAAGGCGGCCUUCGUGGACGGUGACGUGACGCUGAGACGACGAAAGCGUGGGGAGCAAACAGG
rnacentral:rRNA from 1 species